GAUGAACGCUGGCGGCGUGCCUAAUACAUGCAAGUCGAGCGAACAGACGAGGAGCUUGCUCCUCUGACGUUAGCGGCGGACGGGUGAGUAACACGUGGAUAACCUACCUAUAAGACUGGGAUAACUUCGGGAAACCGGAGCUAAUACCGGAUAAUAUAUUGAACCGCAUGGUUCAAUAGUGAAAGACGGUUUUGCUGUCACUUCUAGAUGGAUCCGCGCCGCAUUAGCUAGUUGGUAAGGUAACGGCUUACCAAGGCAACGAUGCGUAGCCGACCUGAGAGGGUGAUCGGCCACACCGGAACUGAGACACGGACCAGACUCCUACGGGAGGCAGCAGUAGGGAAUCUUCCGCAAUGGGCGAAAGCCUGACGGAGCAACGCCGCGUGAGUGAUGAAGGUCUUCGGAUCGUAAAACUCCGUUAUUAGGGAAGAACAAAUGUGUAAGUAACUAUGCACGUCUUGACGGUACCUAAUCAGAAAGCCACGGCUAACUACGUG
rnacentral:rRNA from 1 species